AUAUCCAAAAUUUUGUUUUUUUUUUUCCAAAUUCACUUGUUUUGAAGCUUUAACAGGACAUGCCAGAAUUCAACUAGCAGUGAUGGAAGGAGCAGAGGAAGACCAGUGACAUCUGGUUGUGGUGACAACAAAUAAUAUGAUCGCUUGCCGAAGGAUGCAUCAGGUAUCUGCGCCCUCGUGUCUUUGAUAAUGCCUGUAGUGGUUGUCCCCAUUGAAACACAGAAUCUCAAUUGGAACAUGGAGUCCCCACUGGCAGGGCUCCUGAAGCGAGCCAAAAGAGACGUUUUGCCCCCAUUGUUGAGCGACAACGAUCCAACAUAUAUUGACGCUAUAGGAGUGCCCCGGGGUGUGCCAGGCCAGAUAAGUAUAAACUCGUUAAUCAAGUGUUUUCGGGAUUCGAAAGCAUUUUCCUAUGGAUCACCCCCAAUAA